rnacentral:rRNA from 1 species
CGGGGGCUUACUACAAGGGGUGCGGCGUGCGGUUUAAUCGGAUUUUACGCCGGGAAUCUCACCAGGAGCGACGGCAGGAUGAAGGUCAGAUUGAAGGUUUUACCUAACGAGCCGAGAGGAGUUGCAUGGCCGCCGUCAGUUCGUGCCGUAAGGUGUUCUGUUAAGUCAGAUAACGAACAAGAUCUACGUCUACAGUUGCCAUUGUCUCGUAAGAGGAACAAGCACACUGUAGAGACUGCCUUGGAAACAAGGAGGAAGGUGUAGGCUACGGUAGGUCAGUAUGGCCCGAAUCUCCUGGGCUACACGCGCGCAACAAUGGUAAGGACAAUGGGAUACAACUCCGAAAGGAGAAGUUAAUCCUCGAAACCUUAUCCUAGUUUAGAUUGAGGGCUGUAAUUCGCCCUCAUGACACCGGAAUCCCUAGUAAUCAGAAUUCAACACGUUCUGGUGAAUACGUCCAUGGGCCUUGCACACACCGCCCAUCAAACCAACCGAGCAGGAUUUGAGUGAGGUUUAGUUUUUGAUUAAAUCGAAUUUGAGUUCAGUAAGGUGGGUUAAGUUGUCACAAGGUAGCCGUAGGGGAACCUGCGGCUG